CUGGUAGAUCUUUAUUGCAAUGUAAUAUUAUAUAAAUUACAGUUUAUAUCAUGGAUUUUACGUACAAAUGGUACAUUAAGCAGAAUUAAAAAUCACAAGAUGUCAAAGAAAAAAGUCAUAAAACAGUGUUCGAAUCAAGAAAGUUUGGUUUUGAUGCAUCAAUGUGAAGACCAUUCUAAACGAGAAUGUAAUCAAAAUAACAAUUUCAAAAUUGUUGUGAGAAGAAGAUUGCACGUGGUUUGAUUGCACUGCAUGACAGAUUAAUUUCUAGUAACAUAACGAGUUAUUAUUUGGAUAAAUGGAGUCAAUCUGGUGAGAAGAUAGUCAUAUUGAAGGGAAUUAAUAAUAAGCAUUUAAAAUAUCUUUAUAACAAAAGCAAAUAUUUUGCUCUUGAUUUGCAUAAGCUCUACGAACGAUGGUCAAAUGGAAAAGACAUCAUAGUUUUAACAGUAUUUGGGAAGCAGGAAGAUAUACAAGAAUUUUUUGAAGGACUAUUACCUUACGGUACAAUAAAAAUCAAAUAAUAAAUUUAUAUAUAUAUAUGUUUACGUUUGUAGAAAUAUUUUUCAUGUGUACUUUAUGAUAAGAUGCACAUGUUAUAAUAAUUUUUAUUUAUUGCACUUAUAUAUAUUAGAAAUUCAUUGUAAUAAUUCAAAGAACAUUUUUA
rnacentral:lncRNA from 1 species